GGGCCUAUAGCUCAGUCGGUUAGAGCAGAGGACUCAUAAUCCUUUGGUCCACGGUUCGAGUCCGUGUGUGCCCACCA
rnacentral:tRNA from 1 species